rnacentral:rRNA from 1 species
AGUGAACGCUGGCGGCAGGCCUAACACAUGCAAGUCGAACGGCAGCACAGUAAGAGCUCGCUCUUACGGGUGGCGAGUGAUGGACGGGUGAGGAAUACAUCGGAAUCUACUUUUUCGUGGGGGAUCACGUAGGGAAACUUACGCUAAUACCGCAUACGACCUACGGGUGAAAGCAGGGCAUCUUCGGACCUUGCGCGAUUGAAUGAGCCGAUUUCGGAUUAGCUAGUUGGCGGGGUAAAGGCCCACCAAGGCGACGAUCCGUAGCUGGUCUGAGAGGAUGAUCAGCCACACUGGAACUGAGACACGGCCCAGACUCCUACGGGAGGCAGCAGUGGGGAAUAUUGGACAAUGGGCGCAAGCCUGAUCCAGCCAUACCGCGUGGGUGAAGAAGGCCUUCGGGUUGUAAAGCGCUUUUGUUAGGAAAGAAAAGCAGCUGGUUAAUACCCCGCUGUUCUGACGGUACCUGAAGAAUAAGCACCGGCUAACUUCGUG